rnacentral:rRNA from 1 species
GGCCGCCUUGGGGAUUUUUGCCAAGGGGGCAAGCCUGUUCCACCAAUCCGGGGUUUUGAAGGAGGCCUUCGGGUUGUUAAGCCCUUUUCGUGGGAGGAAACCCUAGGGGUAAUACCCCCGUGCCUUGGCGGUUCCCUACGGAUGAGCCCCGGGUUAAUUCGUUCCCGCCGCCGCGGUUAUUCCGGGGGGGCCAGCCUUUAUUGGGAUUUCUUGGGGUUAAAGGGGGGUUGGGGGGUUUGUUAAUUCGAUGGGAAAACCCCGGGGUUUACCUGGGGAAUGCCUUUGGUUAUUGCCGGCUUGAAUUUUAUAGGGGGAAAUGGAAUUUCCGGUGUUGCGGGGGAAAUGGUUGAUUUUUGGAGGGACCUCCGUGGGGGAGGGGGGUUUCUGGGUCUAACAUGACCCUUAGGCUCGAAAACGUUGGGGGCCAACCGGGUUUGGAUCCCGGUUGUUCCCCCCCUUAACCAUGUAAAUUGGCGUUGGGGUCGUUAAACCCUUUAGUGUCGCAGCUAACGCGUAAG